rnacentral:rRNA from 1 species
ACAACAGACGGAAACGACUGCUAAUACCGAAUACGUUCCUGGUUCCGCAUGGGAUAAGGAAGAAAGGAUGGCCUCUCGAAGAAGCUAUCGCCUGAAGAGGGGUUUGCGUCUGAUUAGGCAGUUGGCGGGGUAACGGCCCACCAAACCAACGAUCAGUAGCCGGUCUGAGAGGAUGAACGGCCACACUGGAACUGAGACACGGUCCAGACUCCUACGGGAGGCAGCAGUGGGGAAUCUUCCACAAUGGGCGAAAGCCUGAUGGAGCAACGCCGCGUGAGUGAUGAAGGCCUUCGGGUUGUAAAGCUCUGUUAUUCGGGACGAAAGAGCGCAUGGCCAAUAUCCAUGCGAAGUGACGGUACCGAAAGAGAAAGCCACGGCUAACUACGUGCCAGCAGCCGCGGUAAUACGUAGGUGGCAAGCGUUGUCCG